rnacentral:lncRNA from 1 species
AUUUCUUUGGGCCGCUCCCAUGGCAUAUGGAGGUUCCCAGGCUAGGGGUCACAUCGGAGCUGUAGCCACUGACCUACGCCAGAGCCACAGCAACGCGGGAUCCGAGCCGCGUCUGCAACCUACACCACAGCUCACGGCAACGCCGGAUCGUUAACCCAUUGAGCAAGGGCAGGGACCGAACCCUCAACCUCAUGGUUCCUAGUCGGAUUCAUUAACCACUGCGCCACGACGGGAACUCCCUGCUAAGAGUUUCUUGCAUAUUUUAGGGUGGCAUAUUCUGCUUCCUUUCAUCCUCUUUUUUAUUUUUUUAAAUGGCCACACCUGAGGGAUAUGGAAGUUUCUAGGCCAGGGACUGAACCUGAGCCACAGUUGCAGAUGCCGUAAAUUUUAAUUCACUGUGUCGGGCAGGGGAUCGAACCCAUGCUGCUACAGAGACAAUGCCGGAUCCUUAACCUGCUGUGCCAUAGCAGGAACUCCUUCAUUCUCUUUUUUGAAGCAAGUCUAUUGAUCAUCACACUGAGGUUCCUUUAGUAGAUGGCUCAGUAAAGUAGAAGCAGAAUCAUCAGAGAAGCAUAGAGUGCUUCAAACUAAAGGCCCGAGAUGGUUUUGUGUCUUUUUAUUUGAAGGUAUGUACACACAUACGAAUACACAUACAUACACAAGCACAUCUCUUAGAGAUUUAAGGUGUGAUAUGUUUUAUUGCCAGUUUACAAAACAUUCCGGCGUAGUUACAUACAUUAUGGUGCAAUCAGCAUUCCAGUAACUUUAUCAGCCCCUUAGGAUAGUCAGGUUCUCCUUCUGUUGGAACACUUCCAAUUAUGAAGCUAUUAAAUUAGAAAAGAACAUUUACACUGGAAAAGACAGAAAUGAUGCUUAUAAUAUGCUAGUGAUUCUAUAGUAGAAACAUUAAGGUUUAAAAACUAAACUUAAGAAAUGAAUGCAAAGCAACAGUUUUUAUAGAACUUGACACGAAUGUUAAAAUUUCAUCUGAAAGAUUCAUGGCCCAAGAAUAGCCAAGACAAUCCUGAACAAGAGAAUGGAUAUCUAGAAAUAUAACGAAAAGCAAAACAACCAGGGGUCAUGGUGGGAGCCAUGCUCUAAAGGUCACAAACCACUUCUGAUUCCCCAAUUAAUAUAUGAAAAGGGAUGAAGAGAAUCAGUCACCAGCAGAAUUAAACAAUGAGGAAUUUUGUUUUUUAUUUUAAGUACUUUCUAGCAUUGAGUUAUAAUUUUUAUCUUUGGCUAACAAGGUGUAUAAGAAAAUGGCUUUCAGUCACUUCUAAUUGCAGAGGGCUGUUGAAGAAAUCAUUAACAAACGGUACAACUAUAUUUUCUUAAGUCAUGGAAAGGUUCAACUCUCCAUAUUAGAGGUGAAUUGACUUAUCUCUGACAAUAUUAAUUCUGCAAGCAGAAAAUUCUCUCCUAGCCCUUCUUUCAAAACAUACUCAUUACUAACUUCAGAAAGGAGCCAUUUAAAGUUUUCUAAGGUUGAGAGGCACAGCCUUGGUGCUUAAGAAUUCAGUAGUAUCAUUCAAGCUCUUAGUCAGUGAUGAUCAUACUGGGUUGGAAUGCUGAAAGCUCUGACUGCAAAAUCAGGACUUUGGGCAAUCUAUUAGUUAUGCACAUUUAUUUAGAACCCAGAGAGGGCAAAGUUUAGAUAGGAGAGGAAAAGUCUUAUUGAUAAAAUUUCUAGUUCUACCCAGUAACUAAAAAGAGGCAGACUGAAGAUAAGAAAUCUUUGACUCGACUUAUUUGAAAGAGGCACACAUAGUUAAGCUGGGCAGUCAUGUGACCAAGCAAUCCAGUUCUACCAAUUGCAAGAAAUUACUAUUUUUAGAAAAAAGUCAAUGGCGAGCAUGGCCAACCAGUUUUUAGGGGAAAAUUGAAGGUCAAUCUCAAGAGGAAGAACCUCACCGUAAAUGUUUGUCUUUAUAAAUUAAUUAUCUUAUUGGAAUACAAAACCAAGGCAGAGACCCUGUAACAGGCAACUGGGUCGGGAACCCACAUAAGUAUAAAGAACACAAAUGAGAAGGAAAUAUUGUGGUGCUGCAGAAAUGGACAUUUAAAAAACUAUCAUCAUGAACGACCAUAUUUUCACUAAAGAAUAAGUAUUCCAAAGAAGCAUAGACUAUUUGGUCAAUACAAAAAUAAGUAAGGAAAUAUUAUUAAAGCACAUACUCUCUGAAAAUACAUACAUUCACAAAGAGAGGUAAUUAUUUUUAAAGUCUACAACAGUCUGACCUUGCAACAAGUUUCAGACACAAUUUCUAACAGUCUGUGAAUGUGGGUAUAAAAUUAUUGACAUUGAGAACUUUUCUGUAUAUUCUACAUUUUUACUUGAAUGCUUUUCAGCUUCCAAACUGGGAACUGUUGGGUAGCCAAUGGAACGUUGGUGAUGUGAUGGCAUCAGAAAUGUUGAGGUUUUCCAACAUUAUCUGUUUUAAGUACGCUUCUGAUUAUUAGACUUUUUAUUAUACUAUUCUGACAGGGUUUCUUAUGACAAUGACUUCAUUAGAAGGAACCCACUAUUAUGAUAUCAGAGCAAUAUAAAUGAAUGUGAAUGGUGCUCAGUGACAGACGAAUUUUCAGGCUGUCAGAUAUCUAUCAAAGCAGGUGCUAAACUAUAAUACAAAUGACUUUGUGUUUGUACAAAGUAAUAAAACCUUCAAAAAUACUCAUAUCAACCUAUAAAAUUUGAAGUUUCAUAUCUUACAUGGCUUGCUUGGUAACCAAAAUUAUCAAUUUUUUGGAAAAUUCCAUAAUGCUUUUUAAAAAGAACUAAUUGUAACUCUAAAGUAAAACUUUAAAAUAUGACAGGGAGUUCUUGUCAUGGCUCAGUGGUUAAUGAACCCGAAUAAGAUCCAUGAGGAUGAGGGUUCGGUCCCUGGCGUUGCUCAGUGGGUUAAGGAUCUGGCAUUGCCGUGAGUUGUGGUAUAGGUCACAGAUGUGCCUUGGAUCUGGCAUUGCUGUGACUAUUGUGUAGGCCAGCAGCUACAGUUCUGAUUCAACCCCUAGCCUGGGAACCUCCAUAUGCCAUGGGUGCAGCCCUAAAAAGACAAAAAUAAAAUAAAAUUUAAAAAUGACAUGGAAUGAUUUAUUUUAUGAAGAAGAAAUGAAGUAAAAAGGGUUUCAAUUAAGGAAACACGAAGAAAGUCUGUGAUAGAGUAGGAUCUAACAUCUUCUCAGCCUUGUAGAAUGUAGCCUAUUAAUUAGCCUUGUAGCCUUUUAGGAUGGCCCUGAAACAAGAACUACCUUACACCAAUUGUGGCAGAAAGAAAAGAAGCAUGAGGAAAAGUCUGCACUGAUAGCUGUACUAGGCAGUUAUCAAAAGUAUAGUUUAUAAGAAUUCUAAAAAUUUUAACCAAAUCCAUGCCAACUUAAUUAGGUGUAGCAUUAGCAGUGAAGUAGUUUCCAAAGUGUGUUUCAAAGGACUGGGCAGGAGAGAAGACUCCUUUAGAGUACACAAAGGAGCUAUCACUCAGACUGGGUAGCACCAAAGAAAACUACUGAAUUAAUUUCGUAUUGAAUCUUACAAAAAGAAUGUAGGUUAUCUAUAUUUUCUACUUGAAUCCUACGUCAAUUAGGAAAUCCAAUUUUUUUCAGCCAAACAACAUUGGCAUUUGUUUAGCACCCUCCAGAGAAUGAGUAUUUUGACCACAUAAAAUUGUGACCUAUGAAUAAGCUUCCCAUUUUUUAAGGGCCUUUGCCAUUUAUAUGGUGAAUCAGACAGAAAGUGGAUGGAGCAAAUUCAAUUUACUUAAAAGGAAAGUUUUGUUCCCAAUCUAGUAAAAUGCUUAGUGGGAGAGAGGAUGAAAUACAUCUAGUUAAAAGACAUCCUAUGAUUUUUUUGGGGGGGUUCUGUUUGUAAAUCUAACUUUUCUAUGCUUUUUCUAGACCACUGAUAUCUAGUGGGACAUGAUACACAGGUACUGAAAGUUAUCUGAUACACAUUAGGAAAGGAAAGUAUUUCCAAACAAAGAGAAAUCCUAACUUUUCGCUCAGAAGAAAAGAUUGUGCUUACAAUCUAAAGACUGAGUUGUGGAUCUGUUGGCUCCUUACCUAAAGUAAGGUAAUGCGUGACCCAAUCCAGACUGUUCCAAAAAAUGGUUCAUGCCUCCUAUAGCACUGGUUUUCAAGACUUUUGUUUUUUUCCAAAACUGUAAUUUACAAUGAGAAGUAACAUUUUAUACUGUGACCCAGGAUAUAUAGUGUAUUCAACUGAAAUAAUAUUUCAGGAAACAAUGUUUAAUCUUGUUACAUGCAAAGCUCUUUUCUAUUCCAUUUUUAAAAUAUGCUGGUUUUGAACUGAUUUCACAGCCCACCAAUGGUAUAAGACCUACACUUUGAAAAACACUGUUCUUGAGGAUUUUGGUUGAUCUUGAGAAAAGGUAAAAAGCAAUGGCCCUGGAACCCAAACAGAUUUCUCCGACUUGUGUUGGCUGGGGCAUUAAAAAAAAAACAUUUUCAAACCGCUACCUCCACCUUCAAUGUAUUUGGCACACACUUUCAGUUCCUACAGGCAAACUAACCCAGUACCUUGUCCCAAUCUUUUUAGUACAGGGGCCUUGGCUUGUCCUCAAGUAUCAAUUAAAACAUAUAAUUGAUGACUAAAUAAUGAAGGUACAAAAAAAUUUGCACUGAGUAUUUUUUACCACACAGGAAUAGGGUACUACUUUGCAGGAUAUUUCUAAGAGAUGAGCUAGGUACAUGUAUAGAUACCCACUGGCAUAAUAUUAUUUCCUCUACCUCUGGAAAAAAAUGAGAAAUAGGACUU